GAAGCGGGCGCGGGGAGGAAAAGGAGGAGGAGGCAGAGGCGGUCUGGGCCGGGCCGGGCCUGACCCCUGCGUCCCGGGGGCACAGGCGUUCUUAAGGCUGCAGAGCCCUGGGUCCCCCACCCGGCCCCGGUUCACUUUGAGCGGUCCCAAGGCCUGAGGGCCUACUGUCCAGUCCCCAGGUUAUCGUCCUGAGCAAAGACAGACCCCGAGCCCUGCGGUCUUGGGGCUCAAACAGUCCCUGGAUGGCCAAACAAGCAAAUAUUCGCCAUGGCAGUGGGUGCUGGAAGGGUGGCUCACGGAGCUGACGCCCUCCGCAGAGAACCGUGGUCUAGUCCUGCGGUCACGAGGCCUAUCUGGGACAGUGGUGUUUGAGCUGAGACUUUAACGAAUAGAGACAGGUGAGGUUCCUGCAGCCCAGGGCUUCAGCGUGAACAACCCCAGAAGGAAAAAGAGUGCUGUUGUUAAAGGUAUCUGGCAUCAUGGACCCAACCAUCACCAGGAGUUUCUCACUUCAUCUCUGUGUGAUAAAUUUUGACAUAUGUAUACAUCCAUGAAGCCGGCACCACAAUCAAGAUAAUGAACAUCUCGCUUACCCCAGAAGUUUCCUGUGCCCUGUCACUCCUCCGUAUUCCUCCAUCCUCAGGAUUUCAUCAAAUGGUCUGCUGCACUGUGCUGGAAUUUUGAACUCCCCAGAGUAGUAAACAACAUCUUCUCAAGGGUAUACAAGUCAUCAGAUAGAGAAAACACCCAUUAUAGAGCUGUGGAGCCCUUACGAUAUAGUGCUAUGCUGCAACAAAUUAGACAGAAGAGUAUUUGUUGAAUAAUAAAAGGUAUCAAUGAACGAACAAAUAAAUUAAUGAGCUGAUGUAUUGAUUAAAUGAAUUUACUUCUUUCAGAUUUACUUUUCCAAACUAAAAAAAAAUUGUUUUAAACUUUGUUCCAAAGUUAUACAGUUUUUACAAAAAUAAAACUUUAUUUUUGAAUUGCUUUAUAUUUACAGAAAAGUUGCAAAGAUAUGGAAAGUUGCCUCACCCUAUAAUUAGCUUCUGACAUUAGUAUGGUACAUUUGUCACAAUUAUUGAACCAGUAUUGAUGAUAUGUUAUUAUUAACUAAAUUCUAUACUUUAUAAAGAUUUCCUCAGUUUUUACCUAAUGCCAUUUCUCUGUUCCAGGAACCCAUCCCAGAAAUCACAUUUCAUAUUGAUAUCAAGUUUCCUAAGACUCCUCUUCGUAGGUACAGUUUCAGGGCCAAAAUUUUAAGGGCCUUGAGUGUUUUGAGCAGUACUGGACAGGUGUUUUUUAGGAUGUCCCUCGACUGAGCUUUGACUGAUGAAUUGCUCAUGAUUGAAUUGGGACUAUGGGUCUUCAGAAGAAAGAUCAUGAGCCCUUUUUGUCACAUCAUGUCAAAGAUACCAUGCCAUCAAUACAACUUAUUACUGAUGAUGUUGACAUUGACCACUUGACUGAGAUAACAUUUGUCAGAUUUCUCCACUGUAAAGUUACUUUUCCCCACUUUCCAUACUAUACUCUUUUGUAGGAAGUCACUAUGCACAGGCCAUACUUAAAGAGAGCUCCAUCUCCUUGAGGGCAGAGUAACUACAUUAAAUAUUUGAAAUCUUUCUGCCCAGGAGAUUUGUCUAUUUUUCCAAUUUAUUUAUUCAAUCUAUUAUUAUUAUGUUAGAUAUGAGACCUUGCUAUGUUGCCUAGAUGGGUCUCAAACUCCUGAGCUCAAGUAAUCCUUCUGUCUCAGCCUCCUGAGCAGGUGGGACUAUAGGCAUGCACCACUGCACCUGACAAUCAUUUAUUGAUGGCAGUAUGAACUCAUGGACAUUUGUUUUAUCCUUAAGUUAUAACCCAAUAUUAUAUUAUUUUAUUGCUAAAUUAUUUCAGUUUUGGCCAUUGAAGCUCUUUUGUUUAAUGCCCAUGUCAUUUUGACAUACCUCUAUCAUUGUGGGAUUUCUUUUUACUUUUUUGCAGAUAUUUCUUUAGUUUUUGGCACUACAAGAGGCUCUAGUUUCAUCAUCUAUCCUGCCCCAGCCCAAGAUUCAACCAUUUCUUCAAGUAGCCCUUGCUCUUUUUUACUGUACAUUGUAAUUAAUAAUCAAGUUCUUGGCACUAGGUUCUUCAGAAAUUUUUUUUUAGUUUAUAUGUUUGUUGAUAAGGUAUUGAUAAAGAUUCUGCUAGUGAUUACCAAUGUAACUUUUGGCAAAUUAUCUGAAACAUGGAAAUAAUAAUUUCUACUUCAUAGGACUGUUGUACAUUUUAAAUGGAUUCACUAGGAUAGUGCACGGAGUAAAAGGAAACAAAUAGUAACUCUAAAUGGUAUUAUUACAAAU
ensembl:lncRNA SUCLG2-DT SUCLG2 divergent transcript